rnacentral:rRNA from 1 species
UGGGGAAUAUUGGACAAUGGGCGCAAGCCUGAUCCAGCCAUGCCGCGUGAGUGAUGAAGGCCUUAGGGUUGUAAAGCUCUUUUGUCCGGGAAGAUAAUGACUGUACCGGAAGAAUAAGCCCCGGCUAACUUCGUGCCAGCAGCCGCGGUAAUACGAAGGGGGCUAGCGUUGCUCGGAAUCACUGGGCGUAAAGGGCGCGUAGGCGCACUUUUAAGUCGGAGGUGAAAGCCCAGGGCUCAACCCUGGAAUUGCCUUCGAUACUGGGAGUCUUGAGUUCGGAAGAGGUUGGUGGAACUGCGAGUGUAGAGGUGAAAUUCGUAGAUAUUCGCAAGAACACCGGUGGCGAAGGCGGCCAACUGGUCCGAAACUGACGCUGAGGCGCGAAAGCGUGGGGAGCAAACA